UACUUUUUGUGUGUUAAAAUUAUACAAAAUAAUAAUUAAUAAAAAAAAUGUUCAAAUUUUUGAUAACCUUAGGCAUUGGAAUUUAUGCUGGUAUAUAUAUAAGUCAAAACUAUGAGAUACCACGUGUAGAUGAUCCUAAUAAGAUAAUAGAACGAAUAAAAGAAUUUGUAGAUGAAUAUAAAAAAAAAUAAUAAUAAUUUAUUAAAUAAUAUGUUUAUGAAAUAUAUUUCAAUGUAUACAGUUUUAUUAUACUAUUAUAUUGU